CGCUUUGACACGCUUGCAUAAAUUUUCGUGAUAAAUUAGGAUCCACCGACAUACUUAAUUGUUAGUUGCAGAAAAGAGUUAGAUGCACAUUGAGAGGAGCAAGAAAACGAUGUACUUUUGAAAAAUUAUAUAGAACGGUGAAAGGAAAGAUACUAUAUAGAGGGAUAUUGGAUGCAUUCAGGAAGACCACAGCCCAUCAACACUCAUCCACAACGCGAAAAAGGCUUGGUCAGCUAUUUCCCAACAUUCUUUCGUAAAGAGUUAAGGGUUUGUAGUGAAAAUAGUUCUCACAGUUUCUAUAAGAUAUCGGCACUGACAUCUUUUAGUUAAUUAUUCUUUAUUUUUCAAAAAUUUACUAGUUAAUACGAUCCUUUGCUUUAUAACAUUAUAAUAUAUAAUAUAUCAGUUAAUAUGCCUAUUCUGCUUAGUGGCGCCAUCGGUGGCAAAACGCCCAAGUUUGUAAUGAAAAUAGUUUCCACCCUUUUCUCUAAGAUGGCACCAUCGAUACGUUUGAGAAAAUUAUUCUUUAUUUCACAUUAAUACAAAGUUAAUACGAUUUUUUGCUUUAUAACACUACAUAUAUCAUUUUAAUAUAUUAUAAUGCAUUCAUUUGCUUUUAUAUAUUUAAAUACAGUAUUAAUUACCGACCUUUAAGUUAGUGGCACCAUCUAGUAGCAAUGAUAGGAACUAGUUUCACUACAAACUUGGGCGUUUUCCCACCGAUGGCGCCACUAGUACUAAAAACUGCAUUGUAUUUGUAUUAAAUAAAAUAUUUUAAAAAGUAA